UUGACCUCGGAUCAGGUAGGGAUACCCGCUGAACUUAAGCUAUCAAUAAGCGGA
rnacentral:rRNA from 1 species